UCUUAGCUAAAGAACCCUCCCAAAGUUCAGCACCACCCCGCUCUGUUAACUGCUGCUGUCCAGAUUUAUAAGAGCCACAGAUCCUCAGCACUGGUUUGGCACAAGACUUCCCAAGCAGGACAUGUAACCAACAAAAUUUAGCCAGUAUCCAGGGCUGCUCACAGCUUUGCUUCUUGUGAGAAUUAACGAAGAUGAUGGUCUUAAAAUGGUUUUACCACAAGAAACCCCUCCUACAAGGAAUAUACCUGUUAUCUUUCCCUGAGGCCCCACACUGCCAUUCUGAGGAGUAAAAUGAUAGAUCCAGAAGGUUUACCACAGAUCAUGGGGAGACAACACAGGUCUUCCUUCUAUUUCUUGGACAUGCUAAGAGAGAUGAUUGGACAGUCAGUAAAUGCACUGGUGGACCAUAAAUAUGUUCUCACCUGAUGAAAGGUCUUGAGAUUGCCAGGACAGUGCGGAUGAACCAUGUUGGCAUCUCUUCAGCCAGCUGAUGCCAGGCAUCUUCCUGCGAGGAGUUGCUCCAUUCAGGUACGGUCUGAUGACCUGCAUGUCAAUCCGUUGCUCCUGGUCACCGAUGAUCACUGUUCGCCACAGACGACCAGUCGAGUCUCUCUCCUCCUCGCUUUCACCUGGAAGACGCUUAGCAGUGGCAACAGGAGUGUCAUCUGAAAACAAGGGGAUACCACAGAGUUCCUGCUCAGAUUGUCUCAUUGCCGUUGUUGAUGAACUCCAGAGAGUCGGUCUCAUCAGGAGUCUCAAUGUCAUCAACAUUGAUGUCCAGGUCGUCGGGAGUUUCCAGGAAGUCAUCAGAGAGCACUGAGCCUUCACUCUGGUCCAGAGACAGGUUCAUGUCAGGGGCAACAAGUGUGCGACGCUUACGCUGGGUCAUGGACUCCCCCACAUUCAGACUGGUUGGAGGAUCUAAAAGAGCAGGUCAAGAAAGUUCAGAUACAGUAUGUAGUAAAAAGAAAAAAAAUCAAACGUAAUGCUGUUUGUUUAUUCCACUUACUGCUUCUGUUGUCAGUGAGGCCACAUGAAUCAAUAUCUCCAUCUUCUGGUAGCGGCCUACAGAGACAAACAGAAAUAUACAGCAUAAUACAAUGAUAAAUCAGAAAUUAACUGACACACAUAUAGCUUCUCCUUGGCCUGAUGUUUUCCAGACACCAAGUUAAUGAUUGUUUUGCUUGUCUUAUAGCUGCAACUAAAGCGUAACAGUUAAAAUAAUUUGCUAUGAUAAAAAAAAACAAACAAACAGAUCAACUAUAAAGUAUGAGCAGUCAUUGCUGCAAUCUUGCUUUGUCCAUUGUUUUUAGAGAAGCUCUAUUGUGAUCUAACUACAUUAUGCCUUUGGAAACAAUAUCUGUUGUUGGAGAAAGCAACAUCAGUAAUUACCAGCUCCCCUCUGACAUUAUAAUGAGACAGCUGAACCCUCAGAAGUGGGGGACGGGAGUGCGAGAUUACAGUCGAUAGCAUUCGUACCAACACACACAUAUGCAGAGAGUGAAGGACACAGACAUUAACACAGACAAGCUAACACACCCUGUAACACCACAAGUAUGAGCCAGCUGAUGGAGCUGCUGGGAUAAUUGCUGUUAUUAUGUUGUCAGUAGCUCUGUAAAGGUAAGGCAAGGACAGCACCAACAGCAGGGAGGGGAAAACAAUUUGAAGAGUAAAAGCUUUCUGAAAUGUUGCUCCAGGUUAAACUGUCUGCCACUAUAUUCAAAGUAGUUUUGAAGAAACAGGAAUACAGGGUUGGGAUUAGGGUAAAAUAAAAGCAAAAUACUAAAUUUAACAUGAAAUGUCAUCUUUUUCUCCCUCUCUCAAUUAUUCCACUUCACUUACCUAAUUCCACCAUGUGAAUUAUUGUAGUUUCAUCCUGGGAUAUUUUUGACCUUGUUAGCUCAUUUAUGAACAUGAGAGACAUGCACCAGUGAUUCUGGGCAGCAGUUAAACCUACCAUUUCCAUGUCACUUUGUACUCUAUUGGUGUAAGCAGAUAUUAAACACAGUGUUAUGUAAUACACUGUAUGGAAAUGU